GAUCGCCUUUCCCAAUGCUUGGCAGCUCUGGCCUGCUGCAUCAGCAGGAAGGCUGCCUGCAACCAACAGAGACUUUGGCUACUGCAUCUUGAGGCCCUGGCAGAGGGAGCCCCGGCUGCCCCUCCGGCUCCUCUUGGCUGGCCAGAAUCUGGGAGCAGCAACUGCAUUUAUUUUUGAGGUUAGGAUGCAGUCUGGGGAGAAAGCCUUUUAAUAAGCGAAGCCUGUUUGGCACAGAUGAGGAAGAGUGGGGUCUUGUGCAUGUGGUGCUGGGUGGGGUUCAGGAUGCUGACCGGGAGCAAGCAGCCAGAGAGGAGUGACAGGCACCCAGGUUACCUGUGGAACCUCCACGGCAGACAUCGAGAAGACAUGAAGGCAGAAGAUCUUGGAGCCGUUGUAGCCAACCACGAAGCCCUGCAGCUUCUGCUGGUGUACCGGGAAGGUGCUGGCCUUGAUGUUGAGGUAGCCUCCUCCGGAGAAGCAAAGCAUGUCCUCACACUGGGUGUUCCAGGCCACACUAUUGGCGUUUGGUUCCUGGGGGACAAAGGCCUGUAAGGCUCCGGCUCCACUCCCAGUUUUCACUCCACGCCCAUGUUAAAGCCUGAGUUGCACUGAGUACUGACAGCAGGAUGAAGGGAAAGGAGUGGAGGGGGCCAGAGAAGAAGGGAUGGGCACCUGCUCUACGUACCGGGGUGAUGGAAAUCGUGGACCUGCGCUGUUUUCAAAAUGAUUACCCCCAUAGUUUACUCACUGCACAGAAUUUCAAAUGCCUAACAACCGAAAGCUUCCCUCCUACCUCCCAGGACUACAAAGUCUAACAAGAAGCCCCAGCACGUGUCACGACACCAAGGGCUGACAGCUGCGGGCUGGGGCUUAGGACUUCCUCUUGCAAGCAACAACCGUCAGCUCAGGACCAACCGGGACCAACUGAAGCAGGGCUGGGUGCCCAAAGCAGGCAGAAACCGGGCCAGAGAAAGAGCCUCAGGCAAGCUCCUCUGAACAUUGGCCCUGUGAGCUCCUUUUUGGGUGGGCACAGCAUCUGAGAGCUGGGCAGUGAGGUGGGAUGUUGCAGAACGGAAGGUCGGAAGGAAGCCCCUUCUGCCCACAAGCUCUGCUUACUUUCUGGAAACCUGGAGCUGCCCAUGCACGAGACUCAUAACCAAAGAAUUGUACUGAGAUCUCAGCUGCUGCUCACUGAAAAUAUGGAGCAGAGCACAGCAAGGGCAAAAAUACCCCCACCCCCACCCGGCACACACGCACAUGUGCACACCUUCAGAGGAACAGGAGAGGAGUGAGUUUCUAUGAUGUACCAUUUACAGAGUGCCCAGAAUAUAAUUCAAAUGUUCAAAAAGUAGGAAACAGUGGGGCU